CUUCCUUCAAGUUUUUCUUAUGCACUUCCCUGUCCUACCUAGUUUCUUUAAUGGAUUAUAAACUUUUGCUUCAUCUCACUAUACCUGCACAUGCCCAUGACCAACCUCAUGUUGGUGCCACUGUAUGAAAUAGUGUUUGACUUGUAAACAAAUAUGCAAAUGGGUUCUUUCCCCUUAAGCAUCCUUUGCGCCUCUUCUUUCCACUAAUUCAUUUUAGGAUAUUGAUCUAUCUCUUUUGAGUCCAGAGUUGUAGGGCUUGAUCUUCCAAGGCUUUGGGAACAUCUUGUGCGUGUGCUCCAGAUUCCAAAGUCAUGAAGAGACAGCCAUUGCUCUGGAAUGAACAAGUUGCUUAAGUCAAAAUGCCACCUUUUACUCUUUUUUUUUCCCCACAUGAGUUAUGCCUGAAGUGCAUGACUUGAUCUUUAUUUUUAAUACUAUGGCCUUGGUACAGGUUGAACUUCAAAAACUAUCAUUAUGUCCUGGUCUUUGUUUUUGCCAUCGAGGAGAUCAACAGGAGCCCCCAGCUGCUCCCCACCCUGUCUCUGGGUUUCCAUGUCUACAAUUCCUUCCACAGUGAUGUCAGCACCUUGGUGAGCACCCUGAGGUGGUUAUCGGGAUGGGGUCAGAUGAUCCCUAAUUACACCUGCCAGGCACAGAACAAGAAUGUGGCUGUCACUGCAGGAACCACACCAGCAUUCUCUGCCCACAUUGGGACACUGUUGGAGCUCUACAAAAUACCACAGAGAACUCAAUAUGGAACACUUUUUCUCUUUUGAUUCAGACAACCUAUGGAGAUUUUGAUCCUGUACUGAAAGGAACUGAAUGUGGAAAUUUUUGGAGUGUCCAUUCAAUGCCUCCCUGGAGUCUCUGCCAAAGGAAACAUUAGACACGACUCUGUCUGGAUCCAGCUACUACAUCUAUGAUGCUGUGGAUGUGGUGGCCUGAGCCCUCCAUGAAAUACUUUUUAUAAAAGCAGAACAGGGGUCCAUAAUGGAUGCAGGCCAGCUCAUGUUUCUCCCUUAGCAGGUUGCAAGUAAACCUCUAAUGAUUGUAGGGUCUAAUUAGCAACAGUGUCAACUCUUUUAACUAGAAAUAAUUGAUUAAAAACUUUCACUGUGAGAGGUAGGAAGAAGCAGGCUGUCUUUCUUUGUCUCUUCUUGAGCUCGAGGAAACUCCCUAGCACCCCUAAAGCAAACCUCAUUGCUCAAGGUGCAGCUCAGGUUUAGCCCCACAGCACUCCCUGGACGUGGAAUCUUCAGGAAUGGUUUAAACCUCACCAUGUGCUCUCUGAGGGCAGACAAGAAUGCCUGCUUCCUUAAGCGUGCAGAAUAGUAAACACUCCCCAAAUUGAACUUAUUCAGAGGAUGACUAAUAUAGAGGGGAAAAAAUCUAAUUGCUGGGCAACUCAGUAUCCCCACCAGUUCGAAUCUGGGUUUUCUGCCUUCAAUUUCCAUGCUCAUUUCAUUUCCCAAUUAUGUCUCCCUUUUAGCUCCACCCAUUCCUAAGAAACACCCAAUUUAAAAAUAGCACUGGAGCUCACGUGUCACUGGAU